rnacentral:hammerhead_ribozyme from 1 species
AUCCAUCUGAGGAGUCUCAAAUAGAAUGUAACGCGCGUCAAACUGGAU